rnacentral:rRNA from 1 species
GGAAGUAAAAGUCGUAACAAGGUCUCCGUUGGUGAACCAGCGGAGGGAUCAUUACUGAGUUUACGCUCUAUAACCCUUUGUGAACAUACCUAUAACUGUUGCUUCGGCGGGUAGGGUCUCCGUGACCCUCCCGGCCUCCCGCCCCCGGGCGGGUCGGCGCCCGCCGGAGGAAAACCAAACUCUGAUUUAACGACGUUUCUUCUGAGUGGUACAAGCAAAUAAUCAAAACUUUUAACAACGGAUCUCUUGGUUCUGGCAUCGAUGAAGAACGCAGCGAAAUGCGAUAAGUAAUGUGAAUUGCAGAAUUCAGUGAAUCAUCGAAUCUUUGAACGCACAUUGCGCCCGCCAGCAUUCUGGCGGGCAUGCCUGUUCGAGCGUCAUUUCAACCCUCAAGCUCUGCUUGGUGUUGGGGCCCUACAGCUGAUGUAGGCCCUCAAAGGUAGUGGCGGACCCUCCCGGAGCCUCCUUUGCGUAGUAACUUUACGUCUCGCACUGGGAUCCGGAGGGACUCUUGCCGUAAAACCCCCCAAUUUUCCAAAGGUUGACCUCGGAUCAGGUAGGAAUACCCGCUGAACUUAAGCAUAUCAAUA